AAAAUUUUGAGGGGAAAAAAAUUAUUUUCUCUUUCCCCGACUCCUUCUUUCUCUCUUCUUCGUCUUCUCCGACGAUUGUUGAUCACCUGCUGCAUCCGUCGAAAUGAUCUCCUCGAAACCCCUAAAAAAGACCAGGCAGAUCAACUGUUGCAUCCGUCGAUUGUUAUCAUCUCAGCAAACUCGAUCAGGUACCAAUGAUAUUGCAAAACUUUUUCUUGAAUGCUAAGGAGGAUCUUUAUCUUCUUCAAAUCGACCCUAAGAAGGGUUGUUCACUGAUAUUGACUCUAUCCUUCGAUAUGGGAACAUUAAUGUGGAUUCAAUAUGAUCAUUUGGUAUUAAUAAGGAUCGGUCUAGUUUGCUUGGAGAUGGAUUGACCUAUGAAGCUGUGGAUGAUGUGAAUAGCUUUCCUCACUUCUAUGGUCCAGACAAAACCUAUAUAUAUAUAUAAGUCAAUAGGUUUUACAACGAUGUCACAGGAAGAAAAGGCAGAAGCUGAAGGUCUCAAACCAGCCACAACACAUCAUGAAUCUGAACCAAGAAGCACAUGAAACCAACUAAAACCAAGCUCGCUACCACGUUUUCAGAAUGUCCCUUGUACUAUGGUGGACCUCUUGAAGCAAGCAUGUUCCUGCUUAAGACCCGCGAUAUAUAAAACCAAGAUACCCGGGUCUGAAGAAGUCAUGCCUGGCCUUAACUUUGGUGCUCGAAACACAUUGGAUGAAGCUGCAGUACUUGUAAAGAAGGGAAUUAUUAAGCCACAGGACUUCAGAUUCUUUUUAUUCUUUGUUGGUUACGCUGGUUUUUAUAACAUAUAUAUAUUUAUAUAUCCAAAUGUAUAGCUUACUUCGAUGGCUUGUAUUUGAGAAUAAUGCACUUCUACUAUUUGUAUGCUAUUUUUAA